CUACUAGACCUUUGAUAAGAUCCUCAUUGCAAACAGAGGAGAGAUCGCCUGCAGGGUGAUGAAAACAUGUAAGAAGAUGGGUAUCAAAACAGUGGCGGUGCACAGUGAUGUCGACGCCAGCGCGGUCCAUGUGAAGAUGGCUGACGAGGCAGUGUGUGUAGGCCCCGCCCCCACCAACAAGAGCUACCUCAACAUGGACGCCAUCAUGGACGCUAUCAGGAAGACUGGAUCCCAGGCCGUGCAUCCAGGCUACGGCUUUCUCUG